rnacentral:rRNA from 1 species
AGCGAACGCUGGCGGCAGGCUUAACACAUGCAAGUCGAGCGGGCCUUUCGGGGUCAGCGGCGGACGGGUGAGUAACGCGUGGGAACGUGCCCUCUGGUUCGGAAUAACUCAGGGAAACUUGAGCUAAUACCGGAUACGCCCUUUUGGGGAAAGGCUUGCUGCCGGGGGAUCGGCCCGCGUCUGAUUAGCUAGUUGUUGAGGUAACGGCUCACCAAGGCGCGGAUCAGUAGCUGGUCUGAGAGGAUGAUCAGCCACACUGGGACUGCGACACGGCCCAGACUCCUACGGGAGGCAGCAGUGGGGAAUAUUGGACAAUGGGCGCAAGCCUGAUCCAGCCAUGCCGCGUGAGUGAUGAAGGCCUUAGGGUUGUAAAGCUCUUUUAUCCGGGACGAUAAUGACGGUACCGGAGGAAUAAGCCCCGGCUAACUUCGUG